rnacentral:rRNA from 14 species
GUCAGACGGAAAGACCCCGUGCACCUUUACUACAGCUUUGCAGUGGCCCCAGGAACCGAAUGUGUAGGAUAGGUGGGAGGCUUUGAAGCACAGUCGCUAGAUUGUGUGGAGCCGUCCUUGAAAUACCACCCUUGUAUGUUUGAUGUUCUAACAUUGUUCCCUUAUCGGGAAUGUGGACAGUGUCUGGUGGGUAGUUUGACUGGGGCGGUCUCCUCCCAAAUAGUAACGGAGGAGCACGAAGGUUAGCUAAUCACGGUCGGACAUCGUGAGGUUAGUGCAAUGGCAUAAGCUAGCUUAACUGCGAGACAGACACGUCGAGCAGGUACGAAAGUAGGUCAUAGUGAUCCGGUGGUUCUGUAUGGAAGGGCCAUCGCUCAACGGAUAAAAGGUACUCCGGGGAUAACAGGCUGAUACCGCCC